GUCCUCUGGGGCCGCACACGCAGCCUGUGGAGCUUGGACAGUAUUGAUCCUUUCACUGGAUCACCUACCUCCUACCACCUCUCAGGACAAGGGGACCAGGAGGGACCCGAAAGACCCAGAGCCCCCACAGCCAGCCUGGCUCUGCUGGGGCUUCGUUGAGAGCUGCCAAGAAGUCAGACUCUUGGCGGGCGGGCAGCUGGGACCCAGCUGCAGAGUGACACAGCCGCUCUGCUCAACAGGUGAACUAGAGAAGAACCCCCUGGUCCCCCCUGCACCCCCCUCCUGCCCCUCAGACCCUCAGUAUCAUGUGUCCAGACUCUCCAGCCACACCUUUUGCUUCAUCUUCUGAGCUGGCCUUGUUUCUUCUUGAACUACAAACCUGGGCUCACCACAGGGCCAUUGCGCUUGCCAUGAUCUUGGCUAGGACACUCUCCCUAGGAUACACUUGGCUCCCUGACACCGUUAGCCUCUGCUUAAACGUCUCAUUAUGAUCAAGGCUGGCCAAUCCUCCUGAGAACAGGGGCCAACCUGUUGUUCUCAGUUCACCUCUACCUUUGCCUUUAUGGACAGCACUUACCACCAGACUAUCCUGCUCCAUGCUGGGGUCCCACAUGGGCCCGGCAUCGUGUGAGCAUCCUGUCAGAGGGACUUCUCUCCAUCUCACUCUGGGCUGCAGCCCUGGCACCAAGAAUCGUUGAGAACAUAAGAGCAUCUUUUUGGGGAAACUGAGGCACAGAGGUGAAAAAAUGCAUCUCCAGGAGAGGCAAAAGCCCGGAUAAUCCCAAUGGUCAUUCACUGCAGCAGUGUCCCCUGGCCUCUAGCACUGCCCACUCUGGAGUCACCUCCAUUCCAUCUCCACCACCUGACCUAGUGACUACAGGAUCCAGCGCCAUCAAGCCAAGGCCAAGAACUGGAGAUCAGAUCAAGGGUGGAGCCUGGAGGACUGCACGCGAGCUGGAUGACCUGGGUGUUUCCUUUCUCACCUCUAGACAAAGAGAGAGGCAAUAGUCACAGCCAGGGAGAAUCUGCUGCACUAUGCUGCCCUGCUCCUAGGUCAGCAUCAAGCAGUCUCUGCAGCCUCAGGGCCUUUGCACGUGCCAGCCCUCUGUGCAGAACCUUCCCUGAACAACCGCCGUCCUUCUCUGUGACUGCCAGUCUGAGGCAUUUCCAGGUGACAUUUCCAGGACCUGUACAACAGCAUUGCCUGUCCCUUCCCCAGGUUACUCCCAAGCCAAGACACAGAGAACACGGGCAGGUGGUCUCACUAUCAGGCUGAUUUCCAACCUGGUCCCGCUGUCGUUCUGGAGCAAGGCAGCCUCCUGUGUCCCUCUUGGUACAUACCCAGUGCCCUGAACUUGGCUAGCACGAGCAGAAUGUAUGUGUCAAGUGUGUGACUGGGGCCAAAGAAAGAGCCAUGGCCACCUUAAGUCACUAGGUAAGGACAGGAAAGCCAGAAUCCUUCACUCCAGAUGAGAGGUAUCAUUGGCCAUUUUCAGAGUAAGAAUCUCACCCCCUCCCCCAGGAGCUGAGAGGCAGGAGGCAGUGUUCUGGCAGACUGUAGCCCCCAGCCAGCAGGAGGUGACUCACCAGCCCCAUGAUGACAGGUGACAUUCCUUCUCUUCCCUGGGGGGAGGGGGGACUUUGGCCUGGAGAUAAAGGGAGCCGGCCUCCCACUUCUGGGAAAAGGACAGACAACAGGGACAGUGGCCAGGCCACCUCCCCGGGGGAGGGGGGGCAUCGCAUGUCUGUGCGGGAGGACAGGGACAGAGGCUGCCUCAUGAGGCCAUCUGCACGGCCCACAGCCUCCCUUCCUGGUUCAAGGCCUCUCUCCUGUGAGGUGGAGCCUCCCUUCUCCCUAUUCUACCAUCCUAGCUCUUCACAGCUGGCUGGGGUGCCCUCUAGGUGCCCUUUGGCCUGUGGGCUUGGGUCAGAAGGAAAGGGGACUAAUCCAUGGGUGAAUUGAGAAUGUAGUGUCCAGGAGGGUGCUGCCUGGGCGGUGGGCUGUAUACUGCAUGUUCUUUCCACCACCGUCCCCCCCCCCCNNNNNNACACACACACACACACACACACACACACACACACACACACACCCUGCCUGGUUUCACUAUGUAGCCCUAGCUGGUCUUGAACUCACAGAGAUCUGCCUACCUCUGCCUCCUGAAUCAUGGGGUAAAAGGCGCUUGCCACCACGCCCAGCGUUCCCAAUGUAUUUCCAAAGCCUGUGCCUGUGUGGCUGAGGACCUAGCCAAGCAUUAAAGCAUGCAUGGCUCUUCCACAACCUGAGUUUGUUCCCAGCAUCCCUCUUGGGUAGUUCACUGCCUCCUGUAAGUCCAGCUUAGGGAGGGGGCACCCAAUGCCCUCUUCUGACCUCCAGAGGGAUCUGCAUUCAGGUGGUACUCAUAAAUGCCCAUAGGCGCGCACACAUUCACAUAUAAAUGCAAAAAUAAUAAAUAUCUUCUGG
ensembl:lincRNA 1200007C13Rik RIKEN cDNA 1200007C13 gene